GUGCUUUCUUCAGUAGCACGUAUACUAAUAUUGGAACGAUACAGAGAAGAUUAGCAUGGCCCCUGUGCAAGGAUGACACGCAAAUUCGUGAAGCAUUCCAUAUUUUU